rnacentral:rRNA from 1 species
UACGAAGGGGGGCUAGCGUUGUUCGGGAAUUACUGGGCGUAAAGCGCGCGCAGGCGGUCUUCCAAGUCAGUGGUGAAAGCCCGGAGCUCAACUCCGGAACUGCCAUUGAAACUGUUAGACUUGAGGACGAGAGAGGUGAGUGGAAUUCCCCAGUGUAGAGGUGAAAUUCGUAGAUAUUGGGAAGAACACCGGUGGCGAAGGCGGCUCACUGGCUCGGUAUCUGACGCUCAGGCGCGACAGCGUGGGGAUCAAACAGG